AUCUGCUCCUACUGCUUAAAGAAAAAUGGAGAAAGACAGGAUGAGAUGAAGGUGCCUGAAGCUAUUGCAGACUCCUGUUGGCUUGUUUGACAAGAUCUUGCUAGUACAGAUGGGAAAUAGGCUAUUGCAGAGAUGGAUAUUAGUACAAGAAUCACAGAAGAAAUACAUUUCAUACUGAGCCUGAUCAAAGAUCAAGAGCAAAGGCUAUCCAGAGAUGUUUUGAAUAUCUCAUCAUUGGAAGUAUUCAAGGUCAUGUUGGAUGGAAUUUUGUGGAACCUGAUGUGCAGAAAGAUGUGCCUGUCCAUAGCAGUUGGAUUGGAUCAGAUGAGCUUAAAAUGUCCCUUUUAACAGAAACAAUCCUAUGAUUUUCUUUAAUAUGCAGCAGGGACAGCGAAAUGAUGGACCAGGGAAAAAAAUGGGAAAAGGAAGCCUAUAAUUAGGAUCUUUCAUUGCGGAGAAUAAGCAUUUCCAGAGUAGGUUCCAAGUUAUAAUCCAUAUUCUGAAGAGAAAUCAAUUUUCUGAAGAGAAAAAUGUUCAGAAGUCAAAUUUUUUGAAGACAUGCAACUGAGAAGUCAGCAGGAUUCUCUUUGCAGGUACUUUCUACAAUGAAUGAAUUGCAAUAAUAUGUGUAUACAGGAAUGUCAGUUUUCAACAAUAGGAAAAAAUUUGGUUGAUUUAAAAAAAAAAAUUAUUUCAUUAAUUUCAUUUUAAAAAAAAGUAAAUACAUACAUUUCUACACUACCUUCUAU